rnacentral:rRNA from 1 species
ACGGGUGAGUAGUACUUAGGUAACCUACCUUCUAGAUGGGGACAACCUUCCGAAAGGAGGGCUAAUACCGAAUAAGACCACAGUCACUUCGGUGACAGGGGUUAAAGAUGGCCUCUGCUUGCAAGCUAUCGCUGGAAGAUGGGCCUAAGCACCAUUAGCUAGUUGGUAGGGUAAUGGCCUACCAAGGCUCUGAUGGUUAGCUGAUCUGAGAGGUUGGUCAGCCACACUGGAACUGAGAUACGGUCCAGACUCCUACGGGAGGCAGCAGUAGGGAAUAUUGCGCAAUGGAGGAAACUCUGACGCAGCGACGCCGCGUGGGUGAUGAAGGCCUUCGGGUCGUAAAGCCCUGUCAAGGGGGAAGAAUGACGAUAUGGCUAACAUCCAUGUCGAGUGACGGUACCCCUGGAGGAAGCACCGGCUAACUACGUGCCAGCAGCCGCGGUAAUACGAGGGGGGCUAGCGUUGUUCGGAAUUACUGGGCGUAAAGCGCACGUAGGCGGGUAUUUAAGUCAGGGGUGAAAUCCCGCAGCUCAACUGCGGAACUGCCUUUGAUACUGGGUAUCUUGAGUAUGGAAGAGGUAAGUG